UUCCUCUUCUUCCAUUCUUCUCUAAAAGAAAAAUGACUUUAAUGUAAACUUCUCUUCUCUUUACUCAAACAAUUGCUUGCUCCUUCUUUUGUUUUUUUUAAACCGAGCUCUCUCUACUUCUCUCCUGCCUUCCCACAGUGACUAUCAACAAAGUUCUCUAGGUCCAAAGUUGCAGUCCAGUCCAGUUCUCUACUUCCCCGUGCCCGCUUGCUCUGAAGAUCAGGCUGGCACUGAACUCUUCUGCUGCCAGAACCACUUUCUCCACACGCUCAGCCUGCGCAUAAGUGAAGCUACUUAAAUGCCAAGAGGGGUGUCACCUUACUGUGCCAUCUUUUCUGCAGCGUCACAGGGACUCUGGAGGCAGCGGACAUGUACCGACAGGCACCUGUCCAGGCGCAACUGCAGCGUUCAUUCACAUACUGAUGGCGGGAGCUGCAAUGCAAGGCGCUAACCAGGAUCCAUCAGGAGCAAGGGUGAAGUGUAUUGCCCAAGGACACGACGGACGUGACUAGGAUGGUAAAAGGUGGGGAUUGAACCAGUAACCCUCAGAUUGCUGGCACGGCGACUCUUCAAACUUCGCCACGCUGUCCCCCGUGGGGAAAGAAUGGAUCGUGAGAUCGACAGACAGACUGGUGCGGAAUCUUCAAUAAUGCGGACGCGGUAUCGAUCCGUUGUGGUGAAGAAAGAGCGGAGCCGGAAGGCAAAGCUCUCAAUUUACCGGUCGAUCUACUUUCCCAUCCUCACCUAUGGUCAUGAGCUUUGGGUUAUGACCGAAAGGACAAGAUCACGGGUUCAAGCGGCCCAAAUGAGUUUCCUCUGCCGGGUGGCGGGGCGCUCCCUUAGAGAUAGGGUGAGAAGCUCUGUCAUCCGGGAGGAGCUCAAAGUAAAGGUGCUGCCCCUCCACAUGGAGAGGAUGCCAGAUGAGCUGGUUUAGGUCAUGUCUGACCGGGAGGAGGCCACAGGGAAGACCCAGGACACGUUUGGAAGAGGAUGUCCCCCGGCUGGCCUGGGAAUGCCUCAGGAUCCCCCGGGAGGAACUGGACCAAGUGGCUGGGGAGAGGGAAGUCUGGGCUUCCCUGCUUAGGCUGCAGAUAAGCAUAAGAAGAUGGAUGGAUGGAUGGAUAGAAUGUAAUAACCAGCGAGUCAGCAAUAUUUUGGUACUAGAAUGUGAUAACCAGUGAGUCAGCAAUAUUGUGUUAGCGUUGUAGUGAAAGCAGCUUCCAAACAUCUGCAGAGAUGAUCCUGCUGCACACAUGAAUGAUAUCCUGUCAUAUUACAACCUGCAGCGCUGCAGCUUUCAGCUUAGUGCAACAUUAUCAGCACUGCAAAGAAUGCCAGCAUGCAUUCAAAAGGACACCAGAAAAUCCUCACACACACACACACACGCACGCACGCACACACGCACACAAAUAAGCAAAAUCACUGACAGAUUCAAUGUAACCAUAACAACUAUUUGACUAAUCCUCACAUUAUGAUCUCAUAAAGACAGCUGAGUCAUGCAAAUAUGAAUAUGAAUAUGGAGCACACACACACACACACACACAAUAAAUCUGUUUUUCCUCUGA